UAGUUUAUUGAGAAGGGCCUGCCAUGUACAUAAGGAAUGUCUUUGUGAUCCCGGUCGAUCCCAUGUCCAACUGCUUGGGACCCACUUGUUAUUUCUUUGCCUAAUUUGAUUCCAUGCAGAUGUGGUACUAAAUUUGCCAUUGUCAUGAGGCCAAAUAAGUAUAUUUGAAGAGUUGUUCCUGAUUGGAAUAGCUAUAAUAGUCGGCCAAAGUGAUAACAUUUUGGGAGAAAUAGGAUUAGGGAGACACCAGGUACCGU
rnacentral:lncRNA from 1 species